AAUUAGGUAACUCAGUAGGUAGAGUGAAAGACUGAAAAUCUUUAAGUCGGUGGUUCAAGUCCACUCCUAGACA
rnacentral:tRNA from 1 species